rnacentral:tRNA from 1 species
GUUUUUAUAGUUUAUAUUAAAACAUUGGUCUUGUAAAUCAAAAAUAAAUUUUUUUUUAAAAACU